AUACAGAGGUGGCGAGCGUUGUUCGGAUUUAUUGGGCGUAAAGCGCGUGUAGGCGGCCGUGAAAGUUCGGCGUGAAAUCCUUCGGCUCAACCGAGGAAUGGCACCGAAAACUUCAUAGCUAGAGUACGAGAGAGGUAAGCGGAAUUCCCGGUGUAAGAGUGAAAUCUGUAGAUAUCGGGAGGAACACCAGUGGCGAAGGCGGCUUACUGGCUCGAUACUGACGCUGAAAUGCGAAAGGUAGGGGAGCAAACAGGAUUAGAAACCCCGGUAGUCC
rnacentral:rRNA from 1 species